rnacentral:rRNA from 1 species
UGGAAACAUUAUAGCCGCAAGGCAAAUGUGAAGGUGCUGCAUGGUUGUCGUCAGCUCGUGCCGUGAGGUGUCGGCUUAAGUGCCAUAACGAGCGCAACCCUUAUCUUCAGUUACUAACAGGUCAUGCUGAGGACUCUGGAGAGACUGCCGUCGUAAGAUGUGAGGAAGGUGGGGAUGACGUCAAAUCAGCACGGCCCUUACGUCCGGGGCUACACACGUGUUACAAUGGGGGGUACAGAAGGCAGCUACCGGGCGACCGGAUGCCAAUCCCAAAAACCUCUCUCAGUUCGGAUCGAAGUCUGCAACCCGACUUCGUGAAGCUGGAUUCGCUAGUAAUCGCGCAUCAGCCAUGGCGCGGUGAAUACGUUCCCGGGCCUUGUACACACCGCCCGUCAAGCCAUGAAAGCCGGGGGUACCUGAAGUACGUAACCGCAAGGAGCGUCCUAGGGUAAAACUGGUAAUUGGGGCUAAGUCGUAACAAGGUAGCCGUACCGGAAGGUGC